ensembl:misc_RNA Metazoa_SRP Metazoan signal recognition particle RNA
GCUUGGCAUGGAGGUGUGUGCCUGUGAUCCCAGUUACUUGGGAGGCUGAGAUAGGAGGAUCACUUGAGCCCAGGAGGUUAAGGCUGCAGUGAGCCAUGCUUGUGCCACUGCACUCCAGCCUGGGCGACAGAGUGAGACCCUGUCUCAA